UCCACAAAAUUUAAAAGGCUCAUGGAAAGACAACAUUUAAAAAAAAAUUAUCUACCAGCUACUACUAGAGAAGUAUGAUUGGCUCACAAUCAGUUACAUCUUGUCUGGAAAUCAUUUGCAAUUGGGAAAUGAAAGAAAUACAGAGAAAUUUCUUAUAAACCACAUGUAAAGGAACCAUGAAUAACCAUGUGCAAGACUAUGAACACAAGCUGAACAGAUUUAAAAAUACAAUUUUCCCUACACCAUGAAGUGUUUCUCUACUUCAGCAAUUCUUCAUGUGAGAGAAAGAGCCACCAAAGAUACUUCAACAUAAAAGAACCACAAUAUUUUUUUUUUUGGUUAUAAAUGGGAAACAGAGGAAAUAAGAA
rnacentral:lncRNA from 1 species